rnacentral:rRNA from 1 species
AGGCUUCGGCCUUAGUGGCGCACGGGUGCGUAACGCGUGGGAAUCUGCCCUUGGGUUCGGAAUAACAGUUAGAAAUGACUGCUAAUACCGGAUGAUGACGAAAGUCCAAAGAUUUAUCGCCCAGGGAUGAGCCCGCGUAGGAUUAGGUAGUUGGUGGGGUAAAGGCUCACCAAGCCGACGAUCCUUAGCUGGUCUGAGAGGAUGAUCAGCCACACUGGGACUGAGACACGGCCCAGACUCCUACGGGAGGCAGCAGUGGGGAAUAUUGGACAAUGGGCGCAAGCCUGAUCCAGCAAUGCCGCGUGAGUGAUGAAGGCCUUAGGGUCGUAAAGCUCUUUUACCAGGGAUGAUAAUGACAGUACCUGGAGAAUAAGCUCCGGCUAACUCCGUGCCAUCAGCCCGCGGUAAUAC